rnacentral:rRNA from 1 species
UACAGAGGUCCCGAGCGUUGUUCGGAUUCACUGGGCGUAAAGGGUGCGUAGGUGGCGAGGUAAGUCGGAUGUGAAAGCUCGGAGCUCAACUCCGAAAUGGCAUUGGAAACUACCUUGCUCGAGGGUUGGAGGGGGGACUGGAAUGCUUGGUGUAGCAGUGAAAUGCGUAGAUAUCAAGCGGAACACCAGUGGCGAAGGCGAGUCCCUGGACAACUCCUGACACUGGGGCACGAAAGCUAGGGGAGCAAACAGG